GACGAACGCUGGCGGCGUGCUUAACACAUGCAAGUCGAGCGGAGCGGCGAACGGGCGAGUAACGCGUGAGUAACUGCCCCCCUCUCUGGGAUAACAGUUGGAAACGGCUGCUAAUACCGGAUAGUGGGGGAUGUGUCGGGUGCUACCAGCUUGUUGGGUGGGUAGUGGCCUACCAAGGCGACGACGGUGGGCCGGCCGGAGAGGGGGACCGGCCACAGAGGGGUGAGGAACGACCCGAGCGGCUACGGGAGGCAGCAGUGGAGAAUAGUGCACGAUGGGGCAAACCCUGAUGGAGCAACGCCGCGUGCGGGAUGACGGCCUUCGGGGGGGAAACCGCUUUCAGCCAUGACGCGGUAGUGGCAGAAGAAGCACCGGCUAACUACGUGCCAGCCGCCGCGGUAAUAC
rnacentral:rRNA from 1 species